GAUGAACGCUGGCGGCGUGCCUAAUACAUGCAAGUCGAGCGAACAGACGAGGAGCUUGCUCCUUCGACGUUAGCGGCGGACGGGUGAGUAACACGUAGGUAACCUACCUAUAAGACUGGGAUAACUUUGGGAAACCGGAGCUAAUACCGGAUAAUAUUUCGAACCGCAUGGUUCGAUAGUGAAAGAUGGCUUUGCUAUCACUUAUAGAUGGACCAGCGCCUAAUUAGCUAGUUGGUAAGGUAACGGCUUACCAAGGCAACGAUACGUAGCCGACCUGAGAGGGUGGUCGGGCACACUGUCACUGAGACUCGGUCCCGACUCCUACGGUAGGCCGCAGUAGGGACUCCUCCGCGAUGGGGCAAUGCCUGACGGAGCGACACCGCGUGAAUGCUGACGGUCUUCGGCUCGUAAAACUCUGUUGUUCGUGAAGUUCAAACGUGCAAGUAACUGUGCACGUCUUGACGGUACCUAGUCAGAAAGCCCCGGCUAACUACGUG
rnacentral:rRNA from 1 species